GUGGGGAAUCUUCCGCAAUGGACGAAAGUCUGACGGAGCAACGCCGCGUGAGUGAAGAAGGUUUUCGGAUCGUAAAGCUCUUUCGUUAGGGACGAACGUGCUCUUUGUGAAUAAUGAGGAGUAAUGACGGUACCUAAAUAAGAAGCCACGGCUAACUACGUGCCAGCAGCCGCGGUAAUACGUAGGUGGCAAGCGUUGUCCGGAAUUAUUGGGCGUAAAGCGCGCGCAGGCGGGAUAUCAAGUCUGUCUUAAAAGCGCGAGGCUCAACCUCGUGAGGGGACAGAAACUGGUAUUCUUGAGUGUCGGAGAGGAAAGUGGAAUUCCAAGUGUAGCGGUGAAAUGCGUAGAGAUUUGGAAGAACACCAGUGGCGAAGGCGACUUUCUGGACGAUGUCUGACGCUGAGGCGCGAAAGCUAGGGGAGCGAACGGGAUUAGAUACCCUGGUAGUCC
rnacentral:rRNA from 1 species